AGUGAACGCUGGCGGUAGGCCUAACACAUGCAAGUCGAACGGCAGCACAGUAAGAGCUUGCUCUUACGGGUGGCGAGUGGCGGACGGGUGAGGAAUACAUCGGAAUCUACUUUUUCGUGGGGGAUAACGUAGGGAAACUUACGCUAAUACCGCAUACGACCUACGGGUGAAAGCAGGGGAUCUUCGGACCUUGCGCGAUUGAAUGAGUCGAUGUCGGAUUAGCUAGUUGGCGGGGUAAAUGCCCACCAAGGCGACGAUCCGUAGCUGGUCUGAGAGGAUGAUCAGCCACACUGGAACUGAGACACGGUACAGACUCCUACGGGAGGCAGCAGUGGGGAAUAUUGGACAAUGGGCGCAAGCCUGAUCCAGCCAUACCGCGUGGGUGAAGAAGGCCUUCGGGUUGUAAAGCCCUUUUGUUGGGAAAGAAAAGCAGCAGGUUAAUACCCCGCUGUUCUGACGGUACCCAAAGAAUAAGCACCGGCUAACUUCGUG
rnacentral:rRNA from 1 species